rnacentral:rRNA from 1 species
CCUACGGGAGGCAGCAGUCGGGACUAUUGGACAAUGGGCGCAAGCCUGAUCCAGCAAUACCGCGUGUGUCAAGAAGGCCUGCGGGUUGUAAAGCACUUUCAGUUGGGAAGAUAAUGACGUUACCAACAGAAGAAGCACCGGCUAACUCCGUGCCAGCAGCCGCGGUAAU